rnacentral:rRNA from 1 species
CCUACGGGAGGCAGCAGUGGGGAAUAUUGGACAAUGGGCGCAAGCCUGAUCCAGCCAUGCCGCGUGAGUGAUGAAGGCCCUAGGGUUGUAAAGCUCUUUCACCGGAGAAGAUAAUGACGGUAUCCGGAGAAGAAGCCCCGGCUAACUUCGUGCCAGCAGCCGCGGUAAUACGAAGGGGGCUAGCGUUGUUCGGAAUUACUGGGCGUAAAGCGCACGUAGGCGGAUAUUUAAGUCAGGGGUGAAAUCCCAGAGCUCAACUCUGGAACUGCCUUUGAUACUGGGUAUCUAGAGUAUGGAAGAGGUGAGUGGAAUUCCGAGUGUAGAGGUGAAAUUCGUAGAUAUUCGGAGGAACACCAGUGGCGAAGGCGGCUCAACUGGUCCAUUACUGACGCUGAAGGUGCGAAAGCUGGGGAGCAAACAGGAUUUAGAUACCCUGGUAGUCCACGCCGUAAACGAUGAAUGUUACGCCGUCGGCANGNAUGCAUGUCGGUGGCGCGNGACUACGACACGUAACUAGUACCGUCCGUCGGGAGGUACGGUACGGCGAAGUAAGUUAAACGUUAACGAAAGUAAGUUAAGUUAGUACGCGNGAGAGACGACGACGGACGACGACGAGGAGGAG